UCCGGCUUAUCACCGGCAGUUCCUCUAGAGUGCUCAACUAAAUGGUAGCAACUAAAGGCGAGGGUUGCGCUCGUUGCGGGACUUAACCCAACAUCUCACGACACGAGCUGGCGACAGCCAUGCAGCACCUGUGUGUAGGUCCCGUAAGGGAAGGAAUCCAUCUCUGGAAGCCGUCCUACCAUGUCAAACGCUGGUAAGGUUCUUCGUGUUGCGUCGAAUUAAACCACACGCUCCGCUGCUUGUGCGGGCCCCCGUCAAUUCCUUUGAGUUUUAGCCUUGCGGCCGUACUCCCCAGGCGGGGCGCUUAAUGCGUUAGCUGCGGCACGGAACUCGUGGAAUGAGCCCCACACCUAGCGCCCAACGUUUACGGCGUGGACUAC
rnacentral:misc_RNA from 1 species